rnacentral:rRNA from 1 species
GAUGAACGCUGGCGGCGUGCCUAAUACAUGCAAGUAGAACGCUGAAGCUUGGUGCUUGCACCGAGCGGAUGAGUUGCGAACGGGUGAGUAACGCGUAGGUAACCUGCCUCUUAGCGGGGGAUAACUAUUGGAAACGAUAGCUAAUACCGCAUAAAAGUCGAUAUCGCAUGAUAUUGAUUUGAAAGGUGCAAUUGCAUCACUAAGAGAUGGACCUGCGUUGUAUUAGCUAGUUGGUGAGGUAACGGCUCACCAAGGCGACGAUACAUAGCCGACCUGAGAGGGUGAUCGGCCACACUGGGACUGAGACACGGCCCAGACUCCUACGGGAGGCAGCAGUAGGGAAUCUUCGGCAAUGGGGGCAACCCUGACCGAGCAACGCCGCGUGAGUGAAGAAGGUUUUCGGAUCGUAAAGCUCUGUUGUAAGAGAAGAACGAGUGUGAGAGUGGAAAGUUCACACUGU